UACGGAGGGGGCUAGCGUUGUUCGGAAUCACUGGGCGUAAAGCGCACGUAGGCGGGCUCUUAAGUCGGUGGUGAAAUCCUGGAGCUCAACUCCAGAACUGCCUUCGAUACUGAGAGUCUUCGAGUCCGGGAGAGGUGAGUGGAACUGCGAGUGUAGAGGUGAAAUUCGUAGAUAUUCGCAAGAACACCAGUGGCGAAGGCGGCUGACUGGAUCGCAACUGACACUGAGGAACGAAAGCCAGGGUAGCAAACGGG
rnacentral:rRNA from 1 species